rnacentral:rRNA from 1 species
AGUCGAACGAGGGGGCAACCCCUAGUGGCAGACGGGUGAGUAACACGUGGUCAACCUACCGUUUUGUGGGGGAUAACCGGCCGAAAGGUUGGCUAAUACCGCAUACGUCGCGGCCGGCAUCGGCCGUUGAUAAAAGGAGCAAUUCGCAAGACGACGGGACCGCGUCCCAUUAGCUAGUUGGUGAGGUAAUGGCCCACCAAGGCUCCGAUGGGUAGCUGGUUUGAGAGAGCGACCAGCCACACUGGGACUGAGAAACGGCCCAGACUCCUACGGGAGGCAGCAGUGAGGAAUUUUCCGCAAUGGGCGAAAGCCUGACGGAGCGACGCCGCGUGUGGGAAGAAGGCCUUCGGGUCGUAAACCACUGUCGAAGGGGAAGAUAUUGACGGUACCCUUGGAGGAAGCCCCGGCUAACUACGUGCC